rnacentral:rRNA from 1 species
UACGGGGGGGGCAAGCGUUACUCGGAAUUACUGGGCGUAAAGCGUGCGUAGGUGGUUGUUUAAGUCUGUUGUGAAAGCCCUGGGCUCAACCUGGGAAUUGCAGUGGAUACUGGGCGACUAGAGUGUGGUAGAGGGUAGUGGAAUUCCCGGUGUAGCAGUGAAAUGCGUAGAGAUCGGGAGGAACAUCCAUGGCGAAGGCAGCUACCUGGACCAACACUGACACUGAGGCACGAAAGCGUGGGGAGCAAACAGG